rnacentral:rRNA from 1 species
UACGAAGGGGGCUAGCGUUGUUCGGAAUUACUGGGCGUAAAGCGCACGUAGGCGGAUAUUUAAGUCAGGGGUGAAAUCCCAGAGCUCAACUCUGGAACUGCCUUUGAUACUGGGUAUCUGGAGUAUGGAAGAGGUGAGUGGAAUUCCGAGUGUAGAGGUGAAGUUCGUAGAUAUUCGGAGGAACACCAGUGGCGAAGGCGGCUCACUGGUCCAUUACUGACGCUGAGGUGCGAAAGCGUGGGGAGCAAACAGG